GAAUAUGCUAUUACUCCAGUACAUACAGAUAUAAAUGUGGGAGAAGGAUCAGUCGAAGAAGAUGCACAGGGUAUUGUUAAAAUUUUAUUAUUUGUAUUUAAAAUAACUUGUCAAAUUCAUUAUUAUAUAGUUUAAACAUAUUAAUUGAUAGUGGAUUGGGAAACAAGUUAUUCAACCUAUAUUAAUCUUUUUCCACUUUGCGGGUGCGAGUGCUGCCUUUUAGCGGCAUUAGCCUGCUCUUUUUUCGAAAUCUACUAGGGUGUAUUUCACGUACAAGAGAUAAUCUCUUAACACAGGUCAGCCAUUUUUCGUCCCUUUCAGACGGACUAUCAUCGUUUGCUUAAAACCACUUUCGCAACUGGUGUCAAGGGAGAGCCGGAAAUUCAGUUCCUGAAAUGUUCAUUCCGACCGGGAAUCGAACCAGGAACCUUUAUGAUAGUAGUCAUUAUUAUAUGGUAAGGUUUAAUGUAAAAUUUAUGGAUCUGGAUUGAUGAAUUCGAUUAAACGCAUCUAUCCCAUCGAACUUUCAAUACAAGAUUUAUCAGAUCAAUACUAAACGACUAAAACUAUUAUAUCAAAUUUCUCUAUAUUCACCUUCCGUGGCAAGGUAACACUACCACUAUUGAAGUUAUAUUUUUAUAUAGCAGAUGUGGUCGAGUGGUCUAGAGAGCUGGACAUGAGGCUAAGCGAUAGGUGCUUUAGUGUAUUAAAGGUGUGAGUUCGAAUCCCGCUGAUGGACGGACAAAAUAUUGUCAGUAGAAAAUCUAACUCUAACACUGUUAGGUGUAAUUUUCAGACUUACAUAAUUAUUUGUAUUAACUAUGUAUUUAUAUCACUCUGAGAUCCAGUGGACAUAUAUAUUGUAUGAUUUGUCACUUGUUUAGACUUGUUUGUAUUAUAUAAAAUUGAAAAUGCAAAUGGGAAAUGGGAAAUGUGUCAAAGAGACAACAACCCUUCCGUAGAACAGACAACAUCAGAAGGUCAACAAUAGGUCUUCAAUGCAUUCACGCACCAGUCCUUCAGCUGGCCCCUAAACAAAUAUAUAUACUAGUGAUAAUGAAUAUAAGAUAUAUAUAUAUAUAUAUAUAUAUAUAUAUAUAUAUGCAAUUCGUCUAAACAUCAACCCAACAAUGUUAGAUCUGUAAAUUUGCUUUCGCAAAUUUUUGGUUCUUACCUCGCCGGGAUUCGAACCCAUGCUACUGUGAUAUCGUGACACCAAAUCGCCUGCACCCGUCCCGCUAGACCACACGACCACCUGGGCUCUACUUUCAAAAUGCUCUUAAAGUCCUUAUUCUGUUUCUACUAGUGUGGACACAGAAUUCAAUUUUUAGAAUAUAAAAUGAAUAAAUAAAUAGUCAACGAUUAAUCUUAUAGGGCGAUGUAUCAUGUAAUAUGACUGUACACUAAAAUAUAAUUUAUAACAAGUCAAAAGGGUACAACAUCACCAUUAAAUAACUAUAAAAGGAAAAAUUUAGAUUUUCGGAUAACAGAUAUCCUUCUUCGGUAAUAGCACAAUGUCAAAUGAAUCAUGUCAAGAUAUUCAAAUUGAGACUCUAUCAAAAUCUUGAAAGUUUAUACAAUUUAAGCGGACAUCACAGACGCUAUUACAAUUUUAAAAUUUCCAAACACGGCGCAAAGAUUACAAAGAUUCUUUAAUUUUACUUUCCGAUAUAUUGAUGAUGUUCUAUCAUUGAAUAACCCAUAUUUCAGCCAAUACUUACAUCUCAUAUAUCCCAGUGAACUUGAAAUUAAGGAUACUUCUGAUACUAGAAGGACUGCUUCAUACUGAUAUUUUCCUCUAUAUGACGAAGAUGGACGACUUCACACAAAAUCUAUGAUAAACGGGACGAUUUCAACUUCCCAAUUAUCAAUUUCCAUUUCUCAGCAGUAACAUACCCCCUGCCCCUUCGUAUGGUGUUUACAUAUCACAAUUGAUACGUUAGUCUCGUUCUUGUUAACACAAUAACAAGACUUCAUAUACAGGAGUGUGCUCCUUACGCAGAAACUGCUCCAACAAAGUUAUGAGGAGGACAGAUUAAUGACACUCCGUAAAUUUUUAGGACACCAUCACCAAUUGUGGAUCCAUAUGAUGUCUUUUGACCAAACUAGCUAAGGACUUUUACUACAUGGUAGAUUGUGGUCUUGUCAUUACGUCGCUAUCUUUAAUUACCAACGUGACUAUUCCCGUUGUGACUGUUUUUUGUGGUUGCUGAGUGUGAAUUCGCAUUUACAAGACGUGUUACGGUACUUAUCUAUCCCCAAAUUCAUGUAAAAUAUUUUAAUGUUAUAUAUUGUAAUUCUCAUCGGAUUUGUCGAAUGUGUUGACGUCUUUUCUAUUAUAUUCAUGUUUAUGGUAAGAAAAUUAAUCACACUUCAUUUUAGAUUUGAUUUUUCAACGUAUUCUUACGUUUUUUAGUUUGAAGUUUGAUCAAAACAAUCGAUAAUAUAGUUAAUUGUUACCUUAGUUUGCUAUUAAUCAGUUUUGAAAUGUGCAUUGUUUUUAAAUGUAAUAUCAGUAUUUAGUUCAAAUAUAAUCUUAAACCAAUCUUAAUUCUAUCUUAUUCAUUCAAGUUGACGUCAUUUUUCAUUUUUUUGAUGAUCUCUUUUUACAAAUUCAAAUGUGACGUCAUUUUUUGUUUUUUACAAUUCUAAUAUGACGUCACUUGGCGUUAGUUUAACACUUAUUGGAUGUGUUGCUUUUGUCGGGUUAUACAAUGUAUUUCGGUGUUUCCUGUAAUUAGCUAAUACCAGUAUUCAUGUACAUCUUUUGUAUAGUCAUUAUAUAAAAUUUACUGUUUGCAAUUAAGUAUAAAUUAUUCUAAAUAAUAGGGAUGUUCUGGUACCUAACAGAAAAACCCUGGCUUUUUGGACAACUUUUUUGAAUUGGUCCUCGAUGCUUUUCAACUUUGUACUUGUUUCGCUUCAAACUUUUUAUCUUGCGUCACUAGUAAGUCUUGUGUGGACAAAAUGCACUUCUGGCGUAUUAAAUUUUUUAAACUUGUUGCCUUUUGUUAGCUAUUAUUUGUGUGUUUAUUUGUCAAUUGUGUUCUUUUAUUUAUUUAUAUUGUAGUCCUGUAAUGUUGUGUUGUCAUUUUAAUGUUAUAUUUCACAUGGCCGUAAAAGAGGGAGGUUUGGCAUGCCACAAAACCAGAUUCAACCCACCAUUUUUUCCUUUAAAAAUGUCCUGUACCAAGUCAGGACUAUGGCCAUUGUUAUAUUUUAGUACGUUUAUGUAUGUGUUACAUUUUAAUGUUGUGUUUCCGUUGUGUCGUUUGUUUACUAUAAGACGUGUCACGGUACUUAUCUAUCCCAAAUUCAUGUAAUUGGUUUUGAUGUUAUAUUUGUUAUUCUCAUAGGAUUUUGUCUAAUGCUUAGUCCGUUUCUGGGUGUGUGUUACAUUUUAAUGUUGUGUCGUUGUUCUCCUCUUAUAUUUAAUGCGUUUCCCUCAGUUUUAGUUUGUUACCCCGAUUUUGUUUUUUUGUUUAUGGAUUUAUGAGUUUUGAACAGCGGUAUACUACUGUUGCCUUUAUUUACAAAGAUAUUCCAAAUAAAUAUAGUUAUUUGCGAUGUGAACUGGCACAACUCUAAAUUUCCAAAGGUUUUGACAGUUGAGAUGUUAUAACUGCAUGGAGAGCAGUUCCCAAAUAAAAAAAAUGCCCUUAACGGAUCGAAGUUGGUAUAAUAUUUCAAAUUUGACAACGGUAGGGCAAUUGCAACAGAAACUACAUAUUUAAGCCUCCCAAACGAAUAGCAGUUUAAUAAUGAUUAGAAGUGAUUAUAAGUUUUAUUUAAUAAGGUAGAAUAAUUGAACGUGGCUACGUACUUGUACAUCUAUCCCAAAUGAAUGGAGCCCUGUAAUUUAAACUGGUAUUUAAAAAAAUAAAAACUGUCGAGCCAGUACGAAAGCCGGAGUUACUGGAAACAAGUGAUGACAGGAAUAUGAGUGACUCAUUCUAUGUUUUUUUCCGUUGAUGCCCUCUGUGGAAACUGUCCUUAACUUUCUUAUCCAAAAUCUUUCCCGAGCGACUCUGUCGACCUUCGACCAACCCUCGUUGUACCAACCCUCGUUAUAUAUAAAUACAACUCGUCUAAACAUCAACCCAACAAUGUUAGAUCUGUAAAUUAGCUGCUUUCGCAAAUUUUUUGUUCUAUAUAUAACGAAAUACCUAAAAGGGUUUGAACAUAUGUAUUCGCAUUCUGACUUUUUGAAUGGCCAUUUAAUUAGGUGUGAUAAUAUGAGGCAAAGUGGUAUAGGGUAGAAAAAAUCAAAACUUUGAACAGAUUCAAAAUCACCAAUAAAAAUAAUGGAAUUUAUCAAGUACUUCCAACUAGUUUUUAAUACUUCAAAAGUAAUUUUUUCCUCUAUUUUCUUACUUGACCAAUUUAAUAUCAGGUUUUUGAUUGUACCAAGUGUACUGGUAAGAAGAUGAGACAAUUUAGAAGUGGAAAAAUGGCUUGAAGAUGAAAUAAAUCUAUAGUUGUAAGGUGUUUUGUGUAAUUUCGGAAGCCAGUACAUAGUUGGGACUUUCAUUGUAUUUGGUUAUGUUUGUAAUGAGGUAGCUAAAAGUUUAUGUUUGUUAAAGAUGUCGUUUUCUGAAAAUGGAAUCAGUUGGAAUGUUGGUGAAUUGGUGAUUUCUAUUUUCGGAACCUCAAUUUAAAAUUUACGUCAAACAAUAAUGAUGUUAUAAGCAGCUUUAUCGGCCGAGACAAAAGCAAAUUCCUUGGCUAGUUCUUUUAGUUGAUGUUUGAUACGAGCAAUAAGGGUUUUAUGGUUGUAUUUUUAAAGUACCGGUCUUUGUAAAAAUCAUGCGAAGGUGAUUCAUGACAUGUCACAGAGUAAUUUUUUUGCCCUAUAAUAAAACUUUGGUAGAUGAGUAAAAUUCUGUCUUUAUUUUCCCUAAUUAUGCCCGUUGCCAUGGAAACCAUCAAAUAACAUUUUGCCUGAAUAUGUAAAAAAACCCUUUUUGAAAAAUAUAAUAAGGGAAUUUCAGUCCGAUAGAAAUAAGUUAAUCAAUUCAAAAAUAUGAAUAUUACAGUUUUGACAAAAAAACCCAAACUAUACAAAAACGUAAAAUUUUGAAUUUACUAAAUAGUUUGUUCCAUAGCAAAUUAAAAUGUGUUAAAAUUCCGAAAAUGAAAAAUUUCAAAAAACCAAUUUUAAAUCUGUUUAUCUUCCAAGACCAACAAUAUUAUGACAUGUCAUUGACAAUUGAAGACCACAUUCUAAUAUAUUAAUAAAAAAAGAAAGUCGUGUGUUUUUUUUCUUUAAAAAAAUAAUUUUUGUCAAAAAUUGUCAAUUUACCAAAAUUUAGAUUCCAAACAGAUGAAUACUGAAACAUUUGAACUAAAAAAGCUAAAACUUUCCAUUAUACGUUCAAUUCUGCCACAAAUAGUAAUUUUAAACGAAAAUAUAUGAUAAAUGAAGAUAUACUUGUACAAAAUGAAAAAUCAUUACUCUGGGUAUUGCACCCACUUUUUCGAUUUUUUUUUUUUUUUUUCAAAAUUAUAAAAUUUGUUGUGAAGGAAUUGUGGUAUCAUCAUAGUGUUUAUUGUGCACUAAGUAUUUUAAGAAUUAAGCAUAACACAACCUCUUAACUGAGGGAGCAUAUGUCCCCCCUUCAUCUUAUAGUAAGAGUUGUCAUAAGUUUUUUAAAAAAUGGUAAUACGCAAAACCCGUUAUCUUGCCUUAGACUGAUGCUGUCAGUGAAAAAAAAUAAUGUGAAUCCAAAACUUAAUUACUGUAAGUUAUGUAUAAAAUAAGAGGAUGUUUUAUUGUCAAUGAAACAAUUAACUCUCACCAGAGAGCAAAGACAUAGAAAUAAGCAACCACAGGUCACCGUAUAGCCUUCAACAAUGAGCAUAGCAUGAUAUCUAUAAAAAAUAUUAAUGAACAUUUAAAAAAAAUAGCUCACAGAAACUCUUUCAAAAUGGUUAAAGAAGUUACAGAACAUUUAAUGCAACUCAUUGUUGGUUUUUGAAACAGAUUGAUUCUUUAAAAAACUUUAACCAACUAACAAGAAGGCUCACCUGAAAUGUCUGUUGGUUAUUAUCAUUGAAUUACUUUUACACUCUGUAAGUGUUAUGUAAAAGAUUAUAACACAUUAUCAUCAUAACUUAACAUUAUCAAUGUUCUAAGAAAAUGAGGUCAGGGUAAGAUUGACAGAUGAAAAAAAAGAACGGAAACGGAAAAUUCAGCCCCUUCCAUUUUUAAAAGGGGCAUAACUUAUUGACAGUACAAAUAACACCAAAACAUUCUUACUCUUUUGCAUUUUAUGGAAAUAAGCAUUGUGUAAAAGUUUUGAAACAUUUGGUUGUGGCAAAACUUAGUUAGAGAACGGAAACAAAAAAACUCAGGAUUUUUUUCAUUUGUAUACAGGGUAAACUCUGGAACGGACGUACUUAUGGACAAAGGUAAAACGUAAUGGACCCCUUUGCACGGUGGAGGCAUACACAUGUCUAUAUGUUCUAUAUCUGAGGAAAUAUACACCAACGAUUUUACAUUAAUUGUGCAAGAAAAAAUGUCAAUGUUCUAUUGUCAUGGUGGAAAGGGACAGCUUGUCUAUUAUUUUUUAAUAACCAACUGAAUAUUAUUGGUAUAUACGGCAGAAAUCGCAUCUUUUAUGGUACUAUUAUAAACUGUUUUAAUUCUAAACCUCAUGACAACCAUGUGCAAAGACCAUUCAUUGAUUUUGCUAAUUUAAUCAAUUGUUAUAUUUACACAUUUUUAUGCCCCGUUGUGGGCCGGCGGAGGGGUAUUAAGGUUUAUCCUUGUCAGUAUGUCCCAAAGUUGGUUUCUGUUCUCUAUCUUUAUAAAAAAGAAGAUGUGGUAUGAUUGCAAAUGAGACAACUGUCCACAAGAGACCACAAUUACACAGACAUUAACAACUAUAGGUCACCGUGCCUCAACCAAAUGUUAUGAAACUUGAUCACAUUGCUUAUUACCAUAAAACACAGACUAAGGUUGAAUUUUGGUGGUGUCACUUAAACCGUCGAAGAGUUAUGCCUCUUACAAAUAGAAAUAUUACUGAAUUUCCCGUUUCUCUUCUCUAAAUUUAGUUUGUCUUUACCAAAUGCUAUUAAAAUUAUACACAAUGCUUAAAACCACCAAAUACAGAUCAAGUUUGAAUUUUGGUGGUGUCACUUUUACUGUUCUAUGCCAUGCCUCUUUAUAGAGGGAAAAGUUGCUGAAUUUCUUGUUUUGUAUUUAUUUCUUUAGUUUGCCUCAACCAAAUGUUAUGAAACUUUUAUACAAUACUCAUCACCAUAAACGUUAGUACACAAUUGGUGAGUGUCACUUUUACCGUACUUCAGUUAUGUUCGUUUAUAACUUUUAUGAUAUGCAAGCGGGAGCAUCAUCUGUGUCCAAUGGAAACAUUCCGCAUUUAUUUUAAAUCUUUUGCAUAAGUUAAGAUUAUUAUAUAUUAUAAUAGAAAGAAAGGGUUUGUAGUUCUGUCAGAUUUACGAAACUAAUACUUUUGGUAUAAGCAUAUCCAAACAAGUUAUACAUUGGGUGCCAAUCGACUUUUAUAAAAGCAGUUAAACCUUGAAAAUAAUAAAUUUAUGGAAAAUAGCCCCUAGCCUCCCACAGGUACAAUUCUUGCUAGAUUUUUAAUAAAACUUAUAAACUAGUUUAACAUCAACAAUAUCGCGGAUAAGUUUUAUAAUGAUGGAUCAAUAGACUUUUUAGAAAGAGUUAUGAUCCUUAAACAUUUAAAUUUAUGGAAGUGGCCUCUUAGCGCUCUCAAUGUACAAGUUUUUAUUUUUUAUUUUCGUUUAAUUUCUGAUAGAACGGACAUAUUUUUGUUUAGAUCACCGUUUCAAAGAACGUGAAUUUGCAUCCUAUGCGUCCGUCGUCUGUACGGUGUAAAUAUUUGAAACAUUUCCUCUGAAACUACUUAACCAUUCCAUGAAACUUAAACUGAAUGAUUCCUAGAAUCUAUAAAAGGUGGUGUUUUAUUUUCUAUUGUUGUACAAAAAGCAAGUGUGUGGCGAUAUCUAAAAUAAAGGAACAGCAAAUUUUCAGAUGAAAACAAUUGUUGGGAUCUGUCACUAAAAGUUGUUAAGUGUACAGAAAUUUAGCAGUUUUUGGUUAUUAUCUUGAAUAUUAAUUAAUCGACAAAGAUAAACUGUAAACAGCAAACAAUCAUCCUCUGCCAUUAAAGCGGGAGGUUUGCAUGCACAAAACCAGGUUCAAACCCAUUUUCAAAAAAUGCCCUGUACCAAGCAGAUAAUGGCAUUGUUACAUUAUAUUGUUUCUGUGUGUGUACAUUUGGUAUUGUGUCUCUGUAUAAUUCGUAGUUCUCUUAUAAUUUGAUAAUUUCCCUCAGUUUUAAGUUUGUAACCCGAUUUGUUUUUUCUCUAUAAUUUGAAUUUGAACAGCGGGUAUACUACUUUGCCUUAUAUUCAGUCAAAGUAAAUAUUUACAAAGGUACCAGGAUGAUAAUUUAGUACGGCAGACGCGCGUUCGUCUACAUAACGACUCAUCAGUGACCUCAAUAUCAAAAUAUUUAUAAAGCAAACAAGUACAAAAGUUGAAGAGCAUUGAGGAUCCAAAAUCCAAAAAGUUUGCCAAAUAUGUGCCAAAGUAAAUAUCUACAAAUAAGUUUAUAUGACCAAAAUUGUCAAUUGAAUCCAUAUGGAGUUAUUGCCCUCUAAAGAAAUUUUUCACAAUUUGUUCUAGUUUGCUUACUGUGAAAAAAAAUCUUCUUAAUCUGAAUAUGAUAAAAUCAAUGUCAGCCAACUUGGGAGUAUCUUGUAUAAUUUUGUAUUUAUUUCCUGUACUUCAAGAAACUUAGCCACUAUGGCUAAAAUGGAACAUCGGGGUAAAAUGCAUUUUUUGCUUUGAAGAAAAAGACAGAUACAAAGAACAUUUAAAUUGAAUUUUUAAAGCCACUCAUUGAUAUAUAUUGAAAACACAGAUAUCAUUGAUACAAGAUUUAACCAAAAAAUUACAGGAGAUCGAUUCAGGCUCUUUAAAGCCUGUUGUUUAGAAUAAAAAUUUAAAGACAGUCUGAGACUAAGUUUUUUUUACAUAAAUUGAAAUGUAACUUGGACAGAGUCUAAUUUAAAAAACCAUGAAAUAGCAUAUAAAAGUUUUUAAUUUCAAUUUGCACAAAACAAGUGUAUUUAGGGACGCAGCUUCCUUCAUUCAGUCAUCAGCUUUUCAUUUUUUUUCUGUUGUUUUUUUGGGUUGUUGUCUCUUUGACACAUUCCCAAUUUCUAAAAAAAAUCUUAAUAUAUAAAAAUUGUGUGGGGGUUCUAUUGUUGCCCUCACCCUUUGAAGAAAUUUCAUGUUUUAAAUUUUAAUAUUUUUUUUUUUAUAUUUUUUUUCAAAAAAAAGGGGCCCAUGCCCAGAGAGAAACAUUUUCUUCCUCCACGACAAAUUCUCUAUCAAUCAUAUAUUUUCAUUUAUUAUUACCCAAAUUGUGUCAGAAAUGCACGUAUAAAUGGAAUGAUUUAGCUUUUUAAGUUCAGAAUGUUUCAGUAUUCAUCUGUUUGGUAAUCUGAAUUUUGGUGAAAAUUGACAAUUUUUUGACUAAAAUUAUUUUUUAAAGAAAAUAAAACACACGACUUUCUUUUUUUUUAUCAAUAUAUAGAAUGUGGUCUUUCAAAAUUUGUGAAUGACAUGUCAUAGUAUUGUUGGUCUUGGGAGAUAAACAGAUUUAAAUUUAGGUUUUUUUGAAAUUUUUCAUUUUCGAAUUUUUACACAUUUUCAAAUGGUUGCUAUGGAAACAAACUAUUUAGUAAAUUAAAAAUUUUAACGUUUUUGUAUAGUUUGGUGUUUAGUUUGUCAAUACUGUAAAUAUUCAUAUUGUUUGUAUUGAUUAACUUUAUUUCUAUGGUUCUUUAAAAUCCCUUAUAUAUCAUUUUUUAAAGGCCACUUAUUUACAUAUUUAGGCAAAAUUUUGUAAGGAUGGUUUCCAUGCAACCAAGGUUCAAAGGAAAAAAAAUAAUACAUAAAACUAAUUUGCAUACCUUACCUUCUUCAUAAACAAGAUAUAAAGACAUUUCAAGAGGGGUCAUGAAUCGCCUAUCAACAAGAACAUGCAUCAUUCUUACAAAAGACCGGUACUUUAAAAGAGUAAAAUGUUCCUUCAUAUGUUGAACACGUAUAUCAACUAUGUUUAUUACUGAAUUAAAAAAAGAGUCCAAAGAUUUUUUGUCAGCUUUACCCGUUUUAUCCAUUUCAGACAGUAAGUACGGAGUAAGUCGUGGAUGAUAAUACGACACUCAUUCCAAUUAAUAAUUGACGGGGAACGAUAUUUAGGUCCUUUACAGAGGAAUACUUUUAAUGGGUCCAUAAAUGUAUUCGGAAUUACUACAAUAACAUGAAGUAGGCGUAUUUUCAUUGAUAAUAAUAUCUUUACACAAUAGGCUAUCAUUAAACACAUAUUUCCUGGUAGAUAUCUUGUAGAUAUAACAAAUAAGAGGGAGCUCAGUAUUAUCAAACUAUCUUUUAACAGAAUGGUCGUUAAAAAUACCGGCAAUAUUUACAAAAUCAAAGCCUUUAUUAGGAUUGCAAUAUGCAAUUUUAUUUAAUUUAUUAACCGGCAAAGAACAGACCUUUGUUAACAGAUAAUGUCUGCCGUUGCUUUUUAAAAUAGAAAUUAGGUGCGAAAUAUUUGUAUGAUUGGUUCGAAAUUUUCUUUGAUUGCGAUUUAUUCUACGAACAUGAGGAACUACUUAGCCAAUUCAAACCAAACUUAAAUAUUCAUUAGGUAGAGUUCUAGCAGCCCCGACAUUUUGAGAUGAAUCUAACAACCAAAUUCAGUUGUUUCCACUUAUAUAUCAUUUUAUUUUUGUAUCACCUUUGUUGAAAAAGGUAUACAGAAAAUCAUAACACUUUACAUAACAUUGCGUUGUUCAUUUGUUGAGGAAGCAUUAAAUGUUAUAUUACAACGGUAUGAUCAAUAUAACCCACAGCUUAACAGAUUAUCAUUUAUAAUUUCUAAUACAUUGGCACAAUUUUUGAAGUUUAGAUUUCUGUUUUUGGUUCAUAAUUUUGAUACCUUACAGUUCUAUAGGUAUUUCUUGUCAAUAAGAAGUGCUCUAUCUGCAUGCCAGUAGGCUGUCGCAUUCCAUUAAAUAGUGGUAUUCGUCAACGAUAGCAACUCUGCACAAAGGACACUUUUUCUGUUCUAGUGGAAUGUUUUACCAUCUACCGUUUUUAAUCGCUAGCUCAUGAUUCAUUGUUCUUAACCGCGACAUUAUUAUUUCGUCUUUAUCAUCGAGUAUGUUAGAGCAGUUUUCAAAAUUGUGUGAUGUCUUGUAUAGGCGAUAAUUCAGAGUUUUAGGUGAAUAAUUUACCUUUCUGACCAUGACUUGUAAACUGAUCUUCUAGUCUUUGUUUAAUUACUGAUUUAAUGUUAGGUGUUGUCUUUUGACAUGAACAUAGGUAACAGAACCCCCAAUUAUCUAGAAUACGUUUCAUCUUGUCUAAUGUUGUUUCUUGUGCCAACUUGAAAAGGUAUCUAAACAUUACAGCAGCGAGCUUCCUUUUUCGUUUCGAGUAUAUGGUUUAAGAUGUAAAAAAAGACUUAUAAAUUUGAUUUGAACUUUUUCUAGUAUGUCAAUGUUUUCGUAACCCAAUAUUUCGCAUCCAUAAAGCAGGAUAGAUUUUACCAGUAAGUCAAAUAACUCUACGUGGCAUUUUAUUGAUAAAUUGUGAAUUAUUCCCUUCCUUAAAACUUCGUACAAUGCACUUAUUACUUUGUCCUUUACAUAUUAUUGUUUGCAUUGUUUACAGGUUCCUGUAUUGCUUAAAAUAAUUCCUAAGUAGUUACAGUCAUUUAAAGUUUCAAUAUGAAGAUUGUUGUAUCGGAAGUUUGUCGUUCUUCCUUUUGAAAAAGUAAAAUCUUUGUUUUAGUGGCAUUUACUCGCAUCUUCCAGGUUUUGCAAUAUUGUAAUAAAUCUUAUUACAUUUUCCGAGAUGAGUUAGUCCUCUAUUUAAAAUCUCAUGUUUACGCCAGACGCGCGUUUCGUCUACACAAGACUCGAAUAGAAAAAUGUUUGAAUGGCCAAAUAAAGUAAGAAGUUGAAGAGCAUUUAGGACCAAAAAUUCCUAAAAGUUUUGCCAACUACAGCUAAGUCAUUCAACUGUAAUGAAAAAUAAAAAAAUGGCGACAGAUUUUUUUCUUGCCUGACACCGAUUUCACAAGCUGAUGGUUCACAUAUUUGUCCAUUUUAGCUCAAGCUGGAUUUUAUAUUCUGGUACAUACUCAGAAUAGUAUGAAAAAUUUUCCCCUUUAUACUGUUGUUCAGCAUUUUAAACUACAAGAAAUUACGAUUUUAAAACCGUAUCGAAGGCUUUUUUUAAAGUCUACAAAUGCGCAAAACAGUGUCUUUUUCAGUGUUGUAGAAUUUUAAUUCGAGAGUUCAGGAGGAAUAUGCUAUCAAUUGUUGAGUAUUUUUCUCGGAAACCAUUUUGAUUUUCGUAUAGAAUAUUCGUUUGUUCUACCACUAGACUGGUACAUUUUAAGGAGAUUUUGCAGGUGUUUUUUUUUCUUAUAUCAUCUUGAAUAUUAUUAUUGAUAAAGAUAACAAUAAGCAGCAAAAUGUUCGGCAAAGAAUGAUCAUCAAAUAAUUUAUAUUAUGAAAAUUGUUAAUUGACCCCUUAAGGAGUUAUUGCCCUUUACAGACAAAUUUUCACCUGGUAUCUUUGAUAACUAUCUACACCACUGGGUCGAUGCCACUGCUGGUGGACGUUUUGUCUCCGAGGCUUAGCCGCUAUCACAAACCCAGUAGUCAGCACUGUGGUGUUGACAUACAUAACAUUUAUAUGGUCAUUUUAAUAAAUUUUCCUGUUACAAAACUUUAAAAACCUGUAUAGCUUUACAACUAUUUUGAUCUGAGCGUCACGGAUGAGUCUUGUGUAGACAAAACCUGAUACCUUUGAUAACUACUGUAACAAUUUGUUCAUCUAGUUUGCUUAUUUAAAAAAAAAUCUUCUCCUUUGAAACUGCUAAAUGAAUUUAAGCCAAACUUGGGCUGAAUGAGUUUCAGAGUACCUAAUAUAUAUUUUGUAUUUUACGUCAAGAAACAUAGCCAGUUUGACUAAAACAGAACAUAAGGGUCAAAGGCAUAUUUUGCUUUUAAGGAAAAUAUGACAGAUACAAAGAACAUUUAAAUCGAAUUUUUAAGUUACCCAUUAAUUUAUAUUUAAAAGCAAAAGUAUUCAGUUAGGAAAGUUUUAGGCAAAAAUUUACAAGUGAGCGAUUCAGGCUCUUGAAAGCCUCUUGCUUUUGUAAACUGUUAAUAUUUGUGUAAGUUUUUCAUGAUCAUGUAUAUGUUUCUUUUGAUAACUCAUAAAACAUUAUUUCUUCUACUGCUAUUACAGUACAACAACUCAUAGCAAAUGUUGUGCUGGAUAUUCGGACUAUACAAGUGACUGCAGAUAUCGUAAGUGUCCUUUUACAUUUAAGUUUUACUACAUUUAACCAUAUAUCAUUGUUUGCUGAUAACUUAUGUACACGAGACACGUCUGUUUUGUUAUGCCGUUUACCUUUUCAAUGAUAGCGGAUAUGAGUUAGAAAAAGUGUGACAUAUGCAUUUCAUACUAAACUAUUUUCAUAAAUUCUAAAUGUACCAAAUACGAACCUAGGUUUAAUCUUUCUCUUAUUUUCGGUAUUAUAUCCUUGAUUGUAUAUUUCUACGUACAAUGUACAAUGACUUUCCUAAUUGAGAGGUCACAUUAGCUUUAAUCAUAAACUAACGAAUAAUGAUUAUCUGAUAUCAUGUUUUGGAAAUGAUUUACACCACUGGGUCGAUGCCACUGCUGGUGGACGUUUCCUCCCCGAGGGUAUCACCAGCCCAGUAGUCAACACUUCGGUGUUGACAUGAAUAUCUAUAAUGUGGUCAUUGUAAUAAAUUUCCUGUUACAAAACUUUAAAUUUUACGAAAAAUUAAGGAUUUUCUUAUCCCAGGCAUAGAUUACCUUAGCCGUAUUUGGCACAACUUCUUGGAAUUUUGGAUCCUCAAUGCUCUUCAACUUUGUACUUGUGUGGCUUUAUAAAUAUUUUGAUAUGACCGUCACUGAUGAGUCUUAUGUAGACGAGACGCGCGUCUGGCGUACUAAAUUAUAAUCCUGGUACCUUUGAUAACUAUUGACAUUAAAGUAUGUGUCUCCAAAAUAUAGAGCGCGGGUUUUACCAAAUGUUUCCUCCUUUAUGAUUAUGUGAGCUUCUUUUACAUUUCCCUUUGUUCAAUGAAUAAUUUAAGUUAACUUACCACAUUUUGCCAUACAAAUAUAUAAUUCGGACAAAAUUAAAUUUCAACACAAAUUGUGGACCUCUAAAGAGGAAUUUUGGAAAAUGAUUUCAGCUGUUAUUCUUCCUCAGUCAUAAUAAUCUUCCAUCAUUACCGGACUGAACAAAGAAAUAACACGAUGGGUGCUGUAUACGGUGAGGAAAUGCUUACUCUUCCGGAGCACAUGAUUUUACUAAAGGUUUUUAGUGGAGUUCGUGUUGUUUCUUAUUUAUUAUUUGUAACUGUUGAUGUAAAUGUCUUUUGGUUUUGUGAGUCUUUCCUUGGUUUUGAUUGUUAAAUCGAUAGAAAAAAAACAAAUCCGGGUUACAAACUAAAACUGAGAGAAAUGCAUCAAAUAUAAGAGGUGUACAACGACACAACAGAAACACAACAUUAAAAUGUAACACACACAGAAACAAACUAAGCAUUAGACAAAAUCCGACGAGAAUAACAAAUAAAACAUCAAAACUAAGUACAUGAAUUUAGGAUAGAAAAUAACCGUGAAAGGUCUUUUACAAUAUAUUUUUUUUCUACUCAAGCUCUUUGUAAUGGAAAACCUACUCCGCUUGGAGGAUGUUCUGAGGUUAACCCUACAGAUACAAUAAAAUAUAGAGGAGGCGGAAGUAGAAAUCAAGGAGAAGGAACGUGUGUAUCACCUGGUCUAUGUGCAAACUGUAAAGACGGAUUUUACGCAGAUUUUGCACUAUGUACAAGUAAGAUCACAUAAACCAUAUGGAUACUAACAUUGAACCGGG
rnacentral:lncRNA from 1 species